UCACCCUCCAUGUGUCACGUGGUUAAUGCCUGUCUUCUGCAGGGAUUCUGGAAGCUGCUGCAUUUGACUGGGAUUUUCCAUGCCAAGAAGAGCCCUUUGCUGAUGACGUGGCUGUGCCCCCUGGAUCAGUUGGCUGCGUGUUAGGAUGAACAUCCUGCUUGGACAGAGCAGAAGUUAGCUAGGACUUUGGAACUGGUAGUGGUAAUGCUGGGAGCACACCAAGGGGAAUAUUUGCUUUCAGAUUCCAAACAGGAAACCAUAAGCAGAUCCAACUUGCAGGGAGCGUGGUGUGGGAGGAUGCGCAGAGACUCAGAAACAAGGAGUCGCAGGAAUGAUGACGGAGGCAUUUUUAGACUUUGUAACGCAUGGCCUCAGUUAGCCAGGCAAUGAAGUAAAUCGCAGCUCUUCUUUCGGGACUGAAGAGCACCUGUGAGUUGCUCUCAACUUGGGAAAUGGCAAUUGGCCCUUCCAGAGCUGACAAAUGGGUGGUGCGGGCAAGAACGUGAGCAUCAGUUCUUUUUCAGUCUUUAGAGAAGACACACAGACACAAACUAACUUGUCAUGCUCUCUUUAAUUUGAUUUUUUUUUAUGACAAGCAAGCCCAACUGUUUAAUGUCCUGUGCACAAAAAGGAGAAAGCAGUUAUUUUGUUAGCUGAGGGGAAAAAGCCAUUUGCUUAGCUUCAGUAAACAAAACAUAAAUUGGCAAUUACGGCGUCCAAAGGACCACAGAAUUUUCUACAGUACCAGCUCCCAGAACACUGAUGUUUCUUUUCCAGUAUGAUGUAAUAGAAGGAUGAGACAAAAGGACAUGGAGCAGGCUUAAAAGGUCCUUACCCUCCUGAGUAGUCUCCAUCAAACCAAUGGGUAAAUGUCUGCAGAAGAGGACCACACCGAAGUUCUGUUGAAGGACUUCAUGGAUGCUGUAUAGUAUAUAUCUACCACGCCGGGGUACACUCGAUGGACCUGCUGCCUAUGUCCUGCAUAUGAGUGCUAAGUUCAGCACUUGCUCGCAUCAAGUACAGUGUGGCUGCUGAGGCAUCCCUGGAGGAACUCUAUGUUGGCCAGCCGCUCUGGGACCACUUCCCAUAAGCAUGCUGAAAGCGCAGAGCACGGAAAACAUCUAGGGUGGGGGGGGGGGGGCAGAUGUUCUACACUCGCACGCAGUGUAGGAGAUUGGAGUUUAACUGUCUGCUUAGCUUGAUUUGGCAAGAGGUCUUAGUAGGAGGUCUACUGGACAGUGGUACAGUCUUCCCAUGGGCCACUGACCCCUCAGUUAAUGCUGUAAAAUGAAAUAGUUCCAGCAGGAGAGGCUCAAAAGCCUCCUCCAGGUAACCUGUUAGUUGCUCAGUUCCACUUGUUAGUUACUGCUUCACUCCAGACGUGAAUUCUCCACCCUGCACCUGGGGUUGGGGUGGAGAGGAAACAGAAGCAGGUCCCAGGGCCUGCCAGUGGCAUGCACAUGCUGUGGGCCUGCUCAGCUGCUCAGGCCCAGGCACUCAGCUCCAUCCUCCUCAUUUGCUUUCAGGGCCACCUCCCAGAGACAUCUAACAGUGUGAGGCUCUCUGCGAGGCACCAGUGCACCUGGGCACUGGAGUCACAGAGGGCAUUAGAGAGUCUUGUCCUCUCAGGACUAGACACGAGCCCAAGGAGCGGUGAAAUGGCAGGGUGGUGCCACGUGAGCAGUGGAGGGGCCCUCAUGACUGGGCAUGUGAAUGCCCGAGCCUUGGUCCUUUCCUUCCCUCCAUACUGGUGUGUCCACGUACCUUUGAGGCUACAGCCUCAAAUAACCCUCCUGAAGGUCCCACCAGUGAACAAGGUGGGCAAAGCUGCUUAUGAGUCACAUUGCCCAAUCCUACCCACAUGCCUUAAUUCCAGGACUACUCUUCGUCCUCUUAUCUAAUCGCAGUCCCCUAGUUGUGCAGUAUGUGCUACAUUUAAAUUCAGAGAACAUAAAUAACUCGCUUUGUUGAAAAGCAACCCAUGAUAUACUCAUUGCCUCUUCCUCUUCCAAUUUGCACUUGCUAGGUGCCCCCCUUGUCCCUCAGUGCUUUCUGUUCCCUCAGCAUGAGUGUGCAUCAUCAUUUUUAUCAGCCUUUAGGACUUGCUGUUAACUCCCUUACCAGUGCACCAUUAGCACCUUGGAGGAGAGCAGAGGACUCAUAACUCGGGGCUGCAGUGCUAUGGUGCACUGGGAGAGGAAGCUGAGAUUGCUGUGGCAUGCCAGCAUGCUGCCGGCAGCUGUGCACCAUCUACCAAAAACAAAUAGCCAUGCUGGCAUUCAGCUGUGCUGCUAGCGCUUUAACACAAGGUUAUUGUCACAAAAUGGUAGUUCACAAGCAUCGAUCACAGGAAGAUAUUGGCCGCACCACAGGCAUUUGCUGCUUGAAGCAGGAUGGUGGUCUCAGUUACUCCAGUGUCACAGCUCUUUGCUGUUGCCGCUGUGUUAAUGUCAAUCAUUGGAUGUGGCUGAUGGGAACUUUUGAGAGAAGUGGCCCUUGUGGCAUACGAUUUAAUAACUUGGAGAGUUACAGUUAUCUGAAGAAAACACUUUGAAUGAAAGCUUCAGUAGGACUAGUUAAUGAGCAGAAAAGAAAGCAACCUGAACACCUAGCGGUUAACUGUGACUAAGCUAUUGAAUUUGCUAACUCCUUGCAUCAGGGAAAAAAACUCUGUUUUCAGCAUUUUGUUGGUGCUCUAAUAAUCUUUUUAGGCGAUGAAAGUAUUGGGAAACGUCACUGGAUUUUUGGAUCAGAUCCUUAGAAAAGACAGUGAUCAUAGUUGUUACCUGACUUUAGAUUCAGCUUCCUGACUUACUGACAUUUCUUGUUUUUGUACAAAAUGUAUAUUCCCUCAUGCAUUGACAACUGAAUAGAAGUGGUUCAGCUGCUCCCCUUUUGUGUGACCCAGUCACAUCCCAGUCCCUGCUAAUGGGGAAGACUCAGUUUGUUUAUCACCUCCCUUCCCCCAAAUCUGUCUUGAAUACUAUCCAUGUGAGCUUUAAACAUCUGCGGGGUUUGUUUAAGUGGGGAGUGGGAGCAAGCAGGGUUUGAAAAAGGUGAUUUGGUACCCCCAUAUGGUAGUGACUGUGAAACUGGGCUGUGCUGGAGUAGCCCCCCUAUGUCUUUGUUCUCAUCCACAUCCCUUACCUACCCCUGACUGCCACAGAAAGUCCGCUUUGUUGGCAUGCCAACCGUUGUUCCCUAGCACACUUCCGCUAUAAAUCCUUGUUAAGUGUAUAUUGUUGGCUCUCCAAGAAGGUACGAGAGCUGCAGUGAGUAGUUACAUGGAAUGUGUAUUUGCAAGGCAACUCCUCGUUAGCCAGAGCUUUUUUCAAAGAUUUCUUAACUUCAUCUUUGGUUGUUUCACCUGAAGGAAAGGUCAACGGAAGGUGCAGAGAAAAUGAAAAGCAUGUAAAAGGUGGAGUAGCUUUGUCCUGCAUUGAGACAUCUUCUAUGCCUUGCUUGUUAUGUAAAACCCAUCAGAAGGAGAGGGGAAUAAACAAAAGAAUUUUCUUCUCAGCAUGUACUGGGACCUAGCGCUGCAAAUAAAUGCAUUGUUAGUUGAAAUCAGUGUUUUGGUUUCUCCCUUCCUUUGCGAGAUGCUGUAGAGGAAGCAGAUUAAAGAUUGCCAGCUUUCUGGCAAAAUAUACUGGUGGCAUCAUAAUGACUUCAUUAUGGUCCCUAAAUGAGCUAACAGACUUAUAACGUGCUCAGGAAAAAAUACACAUUAUGAACAUGCACCCAGGUGUAGGAUUAACCCCUUCUGUGGUGUCCCCUGCUUUGAGUUCAGCUUCAACAGCUCAAGUCACAGCUCAGUGAUCUACUAGCUGAGCAGUAAAGGAUUUAAUUCAACAGCUGUG